UGAAUACGAGAUGCUACGGCGUCGAAGCAGUGUAUGUCAGACUUCCAAGAAAAGCUCGCAAGGUCAUAAAUAAAGAAUGCCUGUACCAUAACCGACACAGGUGGGUAGGUAGAGUAUACUAAGGGGCGCGAGAUAACUCUCUCUAAGGAACUCGGCAAAAUAACUCCGUAACUUCGGGAGAAGGAGUGCCUUCUAUUAGAAGGUUGCAAUAACAAGAUCCAAGCAACUGUUUAUCAAAAACACAGGUUUCCGCUAAGUCGUAAGACGAUGUAUGGGGGCUGACGCCUGCCCAGUGCCAGAAGGUUAAAGAAGUUGGUUAGCUUUGGCGAAGCUGAUGACUGAAGCCCUGGUGAACGGCGGCCGUAACGAUAACGGUCCUAAGGUAGCGAAAUUCCUUGUCGGGUAAGUUCCGACCCGCACGAAAGGCGUAAUGAUUUGGAUACUGUCUCGGAGAGGGACUCGGUGAAAUAGACUUGUCUGUGAAGAUGCGGACUACCUGCACCAGGACAGAAAGACCCUAUGAAGCUUUACUGUAACUUGAAAUUGAAAUUGGACUUUAUUUGCGCAGCAUAGGUGGAAGGCGUUGAGAGUACUCUUGCGGGAGUACUGGAGCCAUCAGUGAGAUACCACUCCUAUAAUGUUAGAUUUCUAACUUUGGAUCAUAAUCUGGUCAAAGAACAGUUUCAGGCGGGCAGUUUGACUGGGGCGGUCGCCUCCCAAAUGGUAACGGAGGCGUACAAAGGUUUCCUCUGAACGGGUAGAAAUCGUAUCUAGAGUGUAAAGGCAUAAGGAAGCUUGACUGUGAGACCUACAAGUCGAGCAGGGACGAAAGUCGGUCUUAGUGAUCUGACGGUGCUGAGUGGAAAGGCCGUCACUCAACGGAUAAAAGUUACUCUAGGAUAACAGGCUGAUCUCCCCCAAGAGUUCACAUCGACGGGGAGGUUUGGCACCUCGAUGUCGGCUCAUCGCAUCCUGGGGCGGUAGUACGUCCCAAGGGUUGGGCUGUUCGCCCAUGAAAGCGGUACGCGAGCUGGGUUCAGAACAUCGUGAGACAGUUCGGUCCAUAUCCGGUGUAGGCGUUAGAAUAUUGAGAGGAGCCUUCUUUAGUACGAGAGGACCGAGAAGGACAUACCUCUGGUGUACCAGUUAUCGUGCCAACGGUAAACGCUGGGUAGCUAUGUAUGGAGAGGAUAACCGCUGAAAGCAUCUAAGUGGGAAACCCACCUCAAGAUGAGUAUUCUCAUGGCGUUAGCCAGUAAGGUCACGGGAAGAACACCCGUUGAUAGGCUCUACGUGGAAGCCGGGUAACCGGUGAAGCGGAGGAGUACUAAUAGACCGAGGGCUUGACC
rnacentral:rRNA from 1 species